rnacentral:rRNA from 1 species
AGGACGAACGCUGGCGGCGUGCUUAACACAUGCAAGUCGAGCGGAAAGGCCCUUCGGGGUACUCGAGCGGCGAACGGGUGAGUAACACGUGAGCAACCUGCCCUUAGCUUCGGGAUAGCUCCGGGAAACCGGAAUUAAUACCGAAUAUGACUUUGGCUGACAUCAGCAGAAGUGGAAAGUUUUUCGGCUAGGGAUGGACUCGCGGCCUAUCAGCUAGUUGGUGAGGUAACGGCCCACCAAGGCGACGACGGGUAGCCGGCCUGAGAGGGCGACCGGCCACACUGGGACUGAGACACGGCCCAGACUCCUACGGGAGGCAGCAGUGGGGAAUAUUGCGCAAUGGGCAAAGCCUGACGCAGCGACGCCGCGUGGGGGAUGAAUGCCUUCGGGUUGUAAACCCCUUUCAGCAGGGACGAAGCGAAAGUGACGGUACCUGCAGAAGAAGCGCGGCUAACUACGCGCCAGCAGCCGC